GUUGCGGUGCGAUUUUGGAUGC
rnacentral:siRNA from 1 species